GUCACUUACCUAAGGUCUGUGAAGAAUGGUGCCAAGACAGGGGUGGACGUCCUCUGCACCUACUGGCAGCCCCCCAGCAGCCUGGGUGUGCCUGCCAAGCUGG